rnacentral:rRNA from 1 species
UACGUAGGGUGCGAGCGUUGUCCGGAAUUAUUGGGCGUAAAGAGCUCGUAGGCGGUGUGUCGCGUCGGCCGUGAAAACCUGCAGCUUAACUGUGGGCGUGCGGUCGAUACGGGCAUCACUGGAGUUCGGCAGGGGAGACUGGAAUUCCUGGUGUAGCGGUGAAAUGCGCAGAUAUCAGGAGGAACACCGGUGGCGAAGGCGGGUCUCUGGGCCGUAACUGACGCUGAGGAGCGAAAGUGUGGGGAGCGAACAGG